AGAGGGUUAAUCCCUGGCCUUAAUCCGCACUGGAAAUGCACCCUUAUUGCGGCUGCAUUGAAGAGUGAAUCUGGCCUCGACUUUGGGUAGGGUUUGCGAACAACCGUGGUUACUUGUGGGAGCUUUAGAAGUGGUCCAUUGAACUGGGCUCCUGAAGGAAUUUAUCCAUAAGUUCCAUAAAAGCGCAAUGAUGGCAGAGGUUGUACUGCUGUCUGGCUGCUGUUUGAAGUAACUACGGCGGCGGUGGUUUCCGAUGCGCUCCUAACAAUGCAUAGCGCAUUUGCCAGCCGAAAAUAUUUUACGCAGAAUAACGCAACGUCCAUCAAUUGUCCUAAGCCCAGGCUAUGCACACAUCAAAGGCAGGACAGCCCGCGCACUGCGCGCCAAAAUGCCCUCGCGAGGGAUUCGGACCGGCCGUGGCCGGCGCGGUAGCGUAAAAGCUAUCCAUGGGCAUUGCGUCUGUGAAUAGGCGGGCCACGCAAGGCUGCUUAUAUUAAUUCACGGCACAGGGCAUGCCUGAUUAAAAGGCCUCACCGAACGCGCAGCAAUGCGCAGCUCGCACGGCUAAGCGUGGGGAAACACAAGCUAACGAAACGACGCGGAAGGGGCUUAACACCCUGAGUUCACACAACGUUAACUACUCACAGCCAUUCUUUAUCAGGCGAGCCCUUCUUUCCAUGCAUUUUCGUUCCUCGCUAGAAGCGCAACGGUCAUGCAACCGUCUUCAAUCCAGCAGGAGGA
rnacentral:lncRNA from 1 species